UACGGAGGGGGCUAGCGUUGUUCGGAAUUACUGGGCGUAAAGCGCACGUAGGCGGACCAGAAAGUCAGAGGUUAAAUCCCAGGGCUCAACCUUGGAACUGCCUUUGAAACUCCUGGUCUUGAGUUAGAGAGAGGUGAGUGGAAUUCCGAGUGUAGAGGUGAAAUUCGUAGAUAUUCGGAGGAACACCAGUGGCGAAGGCGGCUCACUGGCUCGAUACUGACGCUGAGGUGCGAAAGCGUGGGGAGCAAACAGG
rnacentral:rRNA from 1 species